rnacentral:sRNA from 1 species
AGAGAGGAAACGCCAAGCCAGGAGACGCCGACUCCUGGCGGUUCCUCACCACCGAUGCUCAGCUUUUCGCAAUUCCUAACCGCCUCCACCUCUGCCGCGACAGGUUGGCGUGGUGGUGACGUUCCUGGUGCUGCUUAUUUUCUCCUACAACGUCGUCUUCCUGUUCGUGGGGACGGCAAGCCUGGGCCUGUUUCUCAGCAGCACCUUCCCCAGCAUGCUGGCCUACACCGAGGACUCGCUGCAGUACAAAGGCUGUGCAACCACAGUGCUGGUGACAGGGGCAGGAGUUGGCGAGAUGGUGCUGCAGAUGCUGGUUGGUUCGAUAUUCCAGGCUCAGGGCAGCUAUAGUUUCCUGGUCUGUGGCGUGAUCUUUGGUUGUCUGGCUUUUACCUUCUAUAUCUUGCUCCUGUUUUUCCACAGGAUGCACCCUGGACUCCCAUCAGUUCCUACCCAAGACAGAUCAAUUGGAAUGGAAAACUCUGAGUGCUACCAGAGGUAAAACUGGGUGAAGGAGGCAAGAGAAGACUUUCAGCCUCUUGAUCACCAGCACGACCAUACUGUUUCAGAAAGCUGGGUGGUGGUGGAGGC